rnacentral:rRNA from 1 species
GAUGAACGCUGACAGAAUGCUUAACACAUGCAAGUCGAUGGGGAAGUGGUGCUUGCACCAUGGCAACCAUGGCGGACGGGUGAGUAACGCGUAAGGGACUUACCUGCAGGACUGGGAUAACAGGGGGAAACUCCUGACAAGACCGGAUAAUGUCAUGGAGCUGCAUGGCUUUAUGAUGAAAGGAGACGCCUGCGGAGAGCCUUGCGUCCUAUUAGCUAGUUGGUGAGGUAAUGGCGCACCAAGGCGAAGAUAGGUAGCCGGCCUGAGAGGGUGGACGGCCACAAGGGGACUGAGAUACGGCCCUUACUCCUACGGGAGGCGGCAGUGGGGAAUAUUGGACAAUGGGGGCAACCCUGAUCCAGCAAUUCUGUGUGCACGAAGAAGGUUUUCGGAUUGUAAAGUGCUUUCAGCAGGGAAGAAGUAAGUGACGGUACCUGCAGAAGAAGCGACGGCUAAAUACGUG